rnacentral:rRNA from 1 species
AGAAGUACGUAGCACUACGUAUUGUAAAGUGGCGCACGGGUGAGUAACACGUGGGUAAUCUGCCCUUGAGUUUGGGAUAACCCCGCGAAAGCGGGGCUAAUACCGAAUAAGACCACGGGGACCAAAGUCCCUGAGGUAAAAGAUGGCCUCUAUUUAUAAGCUAUCACUUGAGGAUGAGCCCGCGGCCCAUUAGCUAGUUGGUAGGGUAACGGCCUACCAAGGCUAUGAUGGGUAGCUGGUCUGAGAGGACGAUCAGCCACACUGGAACUGAGACACGGUCCAGACUCCUACGGGAGGCAGCAGUGGGGAAUAUUGCGCAAUGGGCGAAAGCCUGACGCAGCAACGCCGCGUGGGGGAUGAAGGUUUUCGGAUUGUAAACCCCUUUUCGACCGGAACGAAUCUCCUCCUGGUAAAUAAUCAGGAGGAUCGACGGUACCGGGAGAAGAAGCCACGGCUAACUCUGUGCCAGCAGCCGCGGUAAGACAGAGGUGGCGAGCGUUGUUCGGAUUUAUUGGGCGUAAAGCGAACGCAGGUGGUUUGGUAAGUCAGGGGUGAAAGUCCACAGCUUAACUGUGGCACUGCCUUUGAUACUGCCUUUCUUGAGUGCAUGAGGGGGAAGCGGAAUUCCGAGUGUAGAGGUGAAAUUCGUAGAUAUUCGGAGGAACACCGGUGGCGAAGGCGGCUUCCUGGCAUGUAACUGACACUCAUGUUCGAAAGCGUGGGUAGCAAACAGGAUUAGAUACCCUGGUAGUCCACGCCCUAAACGAUGGGCACUAGGUGUGGGAGGUAUCGACCCCUUCCGUGCCGCAGCUAACGCAUUAAGUGCCCCGCCUGGGGAGUACGGCCGCAAGGUUGAA